rnacentral:pre_miRNA from 1 species
AGAGUACUCCCUCCGUCCGGAAAAGUUUGUCCCUCAAAUGGAUGUAUCUAGCACCAAGUUAGUGUUAGAUACAUCCAUUUAAGGGACAAGCUUUUCCGGACGGAGGAAGUACAUA